rnacentral:lncRNA from 1 species
GCAAAAAGGAAAAGAGAAAAGAGAGAUAAAAGGCCCAGCUCAUAGUAAAGACAAUUCGACUUAAUAAAGUUUUGGACAAAAAAAUCAUGAUGUCUUCUCCAAAAUGCAGGUGCACUCUCGUUGUUUGUACACGCAACUUGGUGAACCCAGAUAUUAAAAACAUCAAGAAAAAAUUUAGUAUUUGCAUCUUUUCAAUGGUCGACUUAGUAUUUGCAUCUUUUCAAUGGUCGACUUGAAACUUCUGCACAUAUAGCUUCACAGGGGUCCUGUCACAGAUACAAAUUAAUUAGAAAUAGGCGACAAGCUCCAUCAAACAACAGAAAGGUCAAUAAGCACUAGUGAGUGUGAGACAGUUGCAUUGAAAACAAUCCUGUACGAAAUCCAAGAUGGAAAUAGAAGUAUAUGCAAUAUAGAUCAGCCAGUACUAAAAAAGAAUGGAAAUUGGAGUUACGUUUUUGGCAGCCUGCCAACUUUGGCUAUGCCAUAACUAUCAGCAGACAAAUUAAACUGCUUAAUAAGUUACUUAAGAACCUGCUAAGCAGUAAUUAAAAAAACAUGAAUGUUUAAAAAAAUAUCAGAUUACUCUAAAAAAUCCACAAGUAUAAUAAAGCGAACAGUACUUUAAGAAUAAAAAAAUGUAUAUUCUAUAAACCAUAAGAAAUUAAAGAACUACACAGGAUGCAACAUGCAUCACAAAGACACAAAAGACUGCAUAAAGCAUAAUGCAGAGAUUGCAAGAAUCCUGUAGUGAACAACUGGUAACAGUCUCUUAAAGAGCAUAUGGACAUCCUAUGUAAAACAAAACAAUAAAUUUGUGACUUACAUCCGUUCACUUUACAGAUAAGCUACAAUUCCUUGCAACAGUCCA